rnacentral:rRNA from 1 species
CCUGGUUGAUCCUGCCAGUUGUUAUAUGCUCUGUUCAAGGACUAAGCCAUGCAUGCCACGACCAAGCAUUUGAUCGGCUACUCGGCGGAUGGCUCCGUACAACAGUUGUAGUUUACCCAACGGUCCUCAAGACGGAUACCUCUUGGAAACCGGAGCUAAUACGUGCCCUACAAGCUCAGCUUGGCACAUGUUAGGUCAGACCAUCUCUGUGGACUCAUAACAUCAUAGCGGACCGCAAGGCGCGUUGGAUAAACUUCUGCCCCAUCACCUGGUAUGUAGGGUAGUGGCCUACAUAGGGGUUUACGGGUUCGGAGGUUGUGGGAUCGACCCCGGAGAGAACGCUUGAGAGUCGGCGUUCACGUCUAAGGACGGCAGCAGGCGCGCAACCUGCCCAAUCGGUAAAGCCGGAGGUGGCGACGAACAGUACCAACACCGUAAGGUGAUCGGCAUGACAGUGCUGUAAGUAGGCACUGGAACGCAAGGAGAGGGCAAGUCUGGUGCCAGCAGCCGCGGUAAUUCCAGCUCUCCUAGUGUAUGCAAAAGUUGCUGCAGUUAAAGCGCUCCUAUUUGGCAAUCGGAUAGAUCCGAGGUGCCGGGCUUCGGCUCUGAGCACCCUAGGUCUAUCUUUAGGGUAUUCUUAAUACCCCAGUUACCAUGAGAAAACUGUAGCGCUCAAAGCAAGCAUAGCUGAGCAUUUAAGCAUGGGAUAACAAGCCACGACUCCACGUGCGCUGUUGGUCCGUUCGGAGGAGUAAUGAGUAAGAGGGGCAGUUGGGGGCCUUAGUACGAUGGCGCCAGAGGUGAAAUUCCGAGACCGCCGUCAGACUACCUGCAGCGAAAGCGUUGGCCAAGGAUGCUUUCAUUAAUCAAGAACGAAGGCAAGGGGAUAGAAGGCGAUCAGACACCACCGUAUUCCUUGCCAUAAACGAUGCCGCCUAUGGAAUUGAGAGGGCUGUAGACCCUCCCAGCGCCUUUUCUGAAAGGAAAGUCUUCGGGCCCUGGGGGGAGUCUGGUCGCAAGGCUGAAACUUAAAGGAAUUGACGGAAGGGCACCACAAGUCGUGGAACCUGCGGUUUAAUUUGAGUCAACACGGGGCAGCUUACCAGGGGCCGAGCACAGUGGGAUGGACGCAUUCGAGGUGCUUCUUGAUUUGUGCAGUGGUGAUGCAUGGCCGUUCUUAGUUCGUGGGCUGGCCUGUCUGCUUGAUUGCGAUAACGAACGAGACCCCUACCCAUCAGAUGAUCAAUUAAGAUACCUGAAGGGACAUCGUCUGCAAGGACGAGGAAGUAGGGGGCCAUAACAGGUCUGUGAUGUCCUUAGAGAUCCUGGGCUACACGCGUGUUACAAUGGCAGUGGCACUGAGUUGCAUUAUCGAAAGUUAAUGCUAAUCUGUGAAACGCUGCCGUGGUUGGGAUUGACGCUUGGAAUUGCGUCAUGAACGAGGAAUGACUAGUACGUGGGCGUCACCAACGCCUACGGAUUACGUCAAUGUCCUUUGUACACACCGCCCGUCACUGUUCUCGAUGGCGCGCUAAGCGAGUUGUUCAGACGCUGUUACGAAUUCAUUCGUGACGCGGAAGUUCCGCAAGCUUCGUGCGUUAGAGAGAGCAAAAGUCGUAACAAGGUAGCCGUCGGAGAACCAGCGGCUG